rnacentral:lncRNA from 1 species
UUAGAAUCCAAGGAAGUUGACAUGUCAUCACUUCAUUUUUUUGCGCCUGCGCAUAAAUCUGAGAAACGUGAGUUUUGUCUUCAUUGUUUAUCUCGACAUAGGAUAGGUUGUGUGAAAAUAUUACUGAUGUUUAACGUUAAAAAUGGACCAAAAGAUUAAUGCUAAACAACAUUUGACAUGUUUGAACGAACAUAAAUAGAUUAUUUACUAGGUUUUUUUAGCUUUUCGGCGUGAUUUUACAGUCCCCCACCACGUUUUGUGGGAGCAUAAUGAACGCUAAGUACUUGGUGUUAUUUGGACAUAAAUUAUGAACUUUGUCAAAAGAAACCACAUUUGUUCCGGACCUGGGAUGCCUUCCGGACCUGGGAUGCCUGUCUUCUGAUGGAGAUAAUCAAAGUUAUAGUCGCUGCCACGCCCCCAGGGGCCAAAUCUGAGGUGUCUCCAUCUUUUCAUGAACCGUGUGAGCCCGACCUGCAGGUUGCUGUGCUGCUAAGGCAAUUAGACAUCAACACUGCUGUCCUGAGCCGCACUACAGCUGGAGAUGGGAUGUAAUCUGGAAACAAAUUAAGGACAUUGAGACCAGGGAGCGAUAUAGGAGAAGCAAAAUAAAUAACUAUUUCUUAGAAUACAAAACACAUUAGUCUAAAAUCAAACAUGAAUUUACUCUUGUUAAUCAGAAUGAAUCUCUCCCCUUAUGGGCUUUGCCCAACUGACAUGCAACAUUUAUCAAGCUCAUCAUUGCCAAGCGAGGGGGCAUCAAAGUUACUCAGUAGGCUAAAAAUACUGUAUAUAUAUUAGCCUGACAACCAUCAGAGACAGCUGCUUGAGCCCCCAAAACUGCUCUGAUACUACCCUGCCACUACCCUGAUAUUGCCCUGCCACUAACCUGCCACUACCCUGAUACUACCCGGAUAUUGCCCUGCCACUACUCUGAUACUACACUGAUAUUGCCCUGCCACUAACCUCAUAUUGCCAUUGCACUACCCUAAUAUUGCCCUGCCACUACCCUGAUAUUAGCCUGAUAUUGCCCUUCCACUACCCUGAUAUUGCCUUGAAAUUGGCCUGAUAUUGCCCUGCCACUAGCCCUGAUAUUGUCUUGAUAUUGCCCCUCCACUACCCUGAUAUUGCCCUGCCACUACACUGAUAUUGCCUUGAAAUUGGCCUGAUAUUGCCCUGCCACUAGCCCUGAUAUUGUCUUGAUAUUGCCCCUCCACUACCCUGAUAUUGCCCUGCCAUUACCCUGAUAUUGCCCUGCCAUUACCCUGAUAUUGCCCUGCGACAACCCUGAUAUUGCCCUGCCACUACUCAGAUACUACCCUGAUAUUGCCCUGCCACUACCCUGUUAUCAAUCAAAUGUAUUUAUAAAGCCCUUUUUAACAUCAGCAGAUGUCACAAUGUGCUAUACAGAAAUCCAGCCUAAAAGCCCAAACAGCAAGCAAUGCAGAUGUCAAAGCACGGUGGCUAGGAAAAACUCCCUA